AAGUCUAAAGUCAAAGGGUCAAACAUGACUUGUCUUCAUUUCCUAAGCCGCUGAAAAGAUUAGUUCUAGGCGACUGAACAAGAAACCAGAGAAGCUAGUGGGUGCUAGUGAGCUGCUCCCGAAUCCUCCCAGCAGGGUGACUAGCAGACUGGAAUGUUCUUCUCUUGGUAGCUGAUAACCAGGCUGACAGAGAUCCAGGAUGCCCCCUCCCCCAGGCAGAUAUAUGUUCAUUUUGGUCUGCUUGGAAACUAUUCAUAUAAAAAUGGCAUGAAUCAAUCAAUGAUUCAAAUAUAAGGAAAAACAGUUUUAUCUUACCACACAUAUCACCCUACCCCCCCUACCCUAUCACCCCAUCAGGCUAUGAAAGUUUGCUUAAAAUUUUCAUAGUGUCUGUGAGAAUGAGUUACUAAAAGAAAAAUGGCCACCCCUCCCCCGCUGCCUUAUUUCUCUUUGUUUCAACGUGCGCCCCUUUGCGUGAUUUCAGGUUCACUCUGUGUAGAAUUUAAAACAAAAUCUCAGUUACAGAUCCUGAGACAGUCCCUCUUGUCUUUGACCUCAUAUUCAACAUCUACCCCCACGCCCGUCCCUGUCGCCGUGCCUGUUCCCCUUUGCUUUGCCCUUGUAUCUUUUCAUUUCCCUGUCAUUGCACCCGGGAGGACACAGCGCUCCACUUCUGUUAGACGCCUUCUCUGCAGUCUUUGAUUAAACCCUUCUUUGAAGUCUGUGAAACUGGAUACUAACUGACCUGUAAGAAAUUAAAAGGAACUGUAUUUCAUUAUACCAUUGCCCUAAACGAUACUCCUUUUUAAACCAAUUAAGGGGAAAUUUACCUCCCG
rnacentral:lncRNA from 1 species